AUGGGUACAGGAAGAGGUCCUCCAGGUGGGUCGGCAGCAGGUGCAGAGUCGGAGGCUGGCUGCCACUCCUGCCCGGCAUCGGCAGGGAGUGGCCAUGCAGCGUGUCUCGCACCUACAUGCAUGACAUUGCAAUGCUCAUAAAUACAAGCAUCCUCUCCAGAUGUCCCUGCACCUCAGAGUCUGCAAUAAUUCUGGCAGUCACAAGCCGCAGCUCCCGGCCACAAAAUUGAUGUCCAUAUGCAAGCUGGCUUGAACUUGGAAGGGUGCACAAUAGCAGGCACUUCAUCCUAUUGUGUGCAGCUUGUCUGGCACAGCCAUCAUGAUCCCACACACCACCGGAUCCGAUUCUUAUGGAGGCAUUUUUCUGUCAAAUAAACAUUUGAUGGAGGCACUCACCUGCUCUGCGGUGCGAGGAUCUUUGAAAUGGAUCAGGCUGUCCAGCCCCAGAUGCUGCCCCUUGAUGGUAAGACCGACGAUGUCUGCCUCCUCAUGUAUGAGGCUCAGUACGGUCAUCAUCGUCACCUUCUCACCCGCCUGCAUGCAGGAUGCAGCUCAAGCAGUCCAUUCACGUGAGUCCUCAUGAGGCCAGUCCCUGCUGCACGAGACAUGUUGCAUGAUCCAUGCUGCAAAAGGUGGUUCACAAUAUCCAUUUGCGGGAGCUGCAUCCUGCAUAGUUUUGCAUCCCAGGUUCAUCACCUGUACGCCGUCCAGGUGCAUGUGGAGUACGGGGGUGUACACCGCAGGUAGUUUGUCCUC
rnacentral:lncRNA from 1 species